CAGGAAAGAAGAGAAUAAUCCAGUGUCAGCGGAAAGAGGACCCCUGAACAAGUUUACUUGCAGGAUGGCUGGGUGCUCAGAGACCUGCACUGAACUGACAGAUCCUGAAGUAUCUCUGGUGGCUGAAUGCCUGCAGGCUCUGGAAGCAAACCCUGGAGUAAGGAAAUUCUUACUGUAAUCCUCUGCCCAAACUCUGCCCGAAGGAGCCAGCGCUUGAGCACAGCUGCUGGAGUGCAGUUGGCAUGCCAGGAUGGGAGUUCCUUGUGAGGAACAGGAAAAGGCCAGCUACUGGAGAUACAGUGGGCUGUGACAAAAUGGAACAGCUGUCUGUGGACUUCACUGCGUCAGACACCACCACUUUACAGUGAUCCCUGUCCAACGCAUGGAGAACCUUUGGGAGGAGUUUCUCUGCUACAGGCC